rnacentral:rRNA from 1 species
AUACGUAGGGUGCAAGCGUUAAUCGGAAUUACUGGGCGUAAAGCGUGCGUCGGCGGUUUGGCAAGAAAGGUGUGAAAUCCCAGAGCUUAACUUUGGAACUGCACUUUUAACUGCCAGGCUAGAGUAUGUCAGAGGGGGGUAGAAUUCCGCGUGUAGCAGUGAAAUGCGUAGAGAUGCGGAGGAAUACCGAUGGCGAAGGCAGCCCCCUGGGAUAAUACUGACGCUCAGGCACGAAAGCGUGGGGAGCAAACAGGAUUAGAUACCCUGGUAGUCCACGCCCUAAACGAUGUCAACUAGCUGUUGGGGCCUUCGGGCCUUAGUAGCGCAGCUAACGCGUGAAGUUGACCGCCUGGGGAGUACGGUCGCAAGAUUAAA